UUUUUAAGGGAAACUGGUUCACAUGGUGUGUUUGAUUACUGAUUGGUUAAAGAAACAGCAAACCAUAGUCAGAAUUAGUAUAUCUUGUCACAUGUUAGCGGUUAGCAUGUGUGGUUAUGCUAAUCUCAGUG